AUCACCUUGGAUUUGUGUGUGUGUAUUUUUAAGACUUCCCUGGCAGCACACACACCUCCCACCCGGGUCAUUCGUACUCUUCAGGCAAUCAGAUUGAAGCUUAUCAAUCGACCAAUCAUUGUCACGUGAGGGCGUGCCUACCUGGGUGUUAAAUUAUCAGCUUUCGACCAGUUCAAGUCCUGCAGAGAAGAGAAGCUCUAAAUGCACCUGCUUGAUCAGACAGGAAAGGAGAAUCCACCACGUGAGCACCAGAUCCAUUAUGAAACUGAGUUACCCGUACCCUGACUGACAGCUCUUGGGCCUGUGGCAGAAUAGGAGGAAAUACCCUUGACAGAUCAGCAAGCUGCAGCAAGGAAAGGGGCCUGACCUCAAUCCCACCACUUGAAGAGAGCGAAAGAAAGAGUAAUGCAUGCCAGUUGCUACAUCAGCUGCAAACUGCAAGAGCUGCUGGGAGGUGAGCGUGGAGGCAGUUCCGUGCUCCUUGGCAAAGGCAGGAUCAGUCUCUAGAACACGACUCUUCCUCAGAAAGUCCAAAAG